rnacentral:rRNA from 1 species
GGGCCCGCACAAGCGGUGGAGCAUGUGGUUUAAUUUGAUGCAACGCGAAGAACCUUACCAGGGUUUGACAUAAUAUGAAUUUUCUGAAAAGAAAAAGUACCUUUAUUAGGAACAUAUAUACAGGUGGUGCAUGGCUGUCGUCAGCUCGUGUCGUGAGAUGUUGGGUUAAGUCCCGCAACGAGCGCAACCCUUGUUUUUAGUUACUUUUCUAAAAAGACUGCCGGUUAUAAGCCGGAGGAAGGCGGGGACGACGUCAAGUCAGCAUGCCCCUUACACCCUGGGCUACACACGUGCUACAUUGGAUAAGACAAUGAGUCGCAAACCUGUGAAGGCAAG